GCUUCCGUGUUGCAUCCGGCUAGGCGUACAGACGCCGCCUGGAGGAUGGCUUGGCUCGAGGGGCGAGGAAGGGCGUGGCAAGCUGCGAUAAGCCCCGGGGAGGCGCAUGCGGCCUUAGAUCCGGGGAUCCCCGAAUGGGACCUCCCGACGGAGCUCGAACAGGGCUCCGUCGCUCCCGGGUUUACACCUGGGAGCGCGAACUCCCCGAACGGAAACAUCCAAGUAGGGGAAGGAGGAGAAAUCAAACGAGAUUCCCUGAGUACCGGCGAGGGAAAGGGGAAGAGCCCAAACCGAAUCCCGCGCGGUGACGCGUGGGAGAUGUAGCGUAUAUGGUCGAUGGCUGCACCCUGAGUGCAGCGCAACUUCGUUCCCUAGCCGAAGUGGCCUGGAAUGGUCCGCCGAAGAGGGUGAUAGCCCCGUAGGUUAAAGGGAGCGGAGUGCGCGCCAUCGACCCGAGUACCUGGCCUUGGAUUUGGCUAGGGAAGUCGGGGGCCAACGGCCUCCAAGGCUAAAUACCUCUCGAGACCGAUAGCGAACUAAGUACCGUGAGGGAACGCUGAAAAGUACCCCGAGAGGGGGGUGAAAAGAGCCUGAAACCAGGCGGCUACAUCGCGCGCCGCUCGAAAGGAUCGUGCCGGUCUGGGCCUCGCAAGGGGCUUGGAUCGCCGCGAUCCAGGGUGGCGCGUUCCGUUUCGAACAACGGGCCAGGGAGUUCAUCUUCACGGCGAGUUUAAGGGCCGAAAGCCCGAAGGCGAAGGGAAACCGAAAUUCCGCAGCCUCCUUCGGGAGGUGAGGGAAGGGGUCUGAAAGGGCCUCGUAGCCGUGGGGGUGAGACUAGAAACCGGACGAUCUAGCCCUGGGCAGGGUGAAGCCGGGGGAAACCCCGGUGGAGGCCCGUAGGGGUGCUGACGUGCAAUUCGCGUCCUCAGACCUGGGGCUAGGGGCCAAAAGCCAAUCUAGUCCGGUGAUAGCUAGUUCCCGCCGAAGCAGAUCGCAGUCUGGCCUGGGCUGAGGUGGCCGGUGCCGUAGAGCACCGAUAGGGGGGCAAGGGGCGUUAUGCCCCACUCCCCUUUCGAACUCCGAAGGUGCCGGCUCCCAAGAAGCCCGGAGACGGGCUUGUGAGGGGUAAGCCCCACAGCCGAGAGGGGAACAACCCAGACCGGGGUUAAGGUCCCUAAGUGCCGGCUAAGUGUCAAACUGAAGGGCGUCUCUCCGCUAAGACAGCAGGGAGGUAGGCUCAGAAGCAGCCAUCCUUUAAAGAGUGCGUAACAGCUCACCUGCCGAGCGGGGGGGCCCCGAAAAUGGACGGGGCUAAGUCGGCCACCGAGACCUCGGGUCACCCUCAGUAGAGGGUGGGCGGUAGGCGGGCGCGGAGAUUGGGCGGAAGCGGGGCCGUGAGGUCCCGUGGACCGAUCUCCGUUGCAGAUCCUGGCGGUAGUAACAGCCUAGCCGGGUUAAAACCCCGGCCGCCGGAAGGGCCAGGUUUUCUUGGCGACGCGCAGUCGGCCAAGAGUUAGCCGGUCCUAAGGAUGCCCCGAAAGGGUGCGUCCGAAUGGGAAGCCGGUUAAUAUUCCGGCGCCGCGGUGUCUCCGUGCGCCCCUCGUGGGCGCGCAUCUCAUCUCGUCGCCUCCGGAUAGGGGGAGUGGGGUCGCCGCCCCAUCUAACUGUCCGAGCUCGGAGGAGUGCCGUAAUGGCGAGAACCCGAGCGAGGCAGGAAUGGCCCGCCUUAGCGGGUUCCCUCGAUUCCGGGGGACCAUGAAAGCGGGAUGGGAGAGGAGUCACCGCGACCGUACCGAGAACCGACACUGGUGCCCUGGCUGUGAAGGCUAAGGCGUGUCGGGGGCACGGGGGGCGAGGGAACUCGGCAAAUUGGCCCCGUAACUUUGGGAGAAGGGGUGCCUGCGAUCUUGGGUGAAAGCUCGGGAUCGCAGGUCGCAGUGGCAAGGGGGUCCCGACUGUUUAAUAAAAACACAGGUGGCUGCUAGCCCGAAAGGGUUUGUACAGCCGCUGAAUCCUGGCCAGUGGGGGCACCUGAAACCCGGGUCCAACCGGGCCAAGGGCCUCUAAACGCCGGGAGUAACUCUGACUCUCUUAAGGUAGCCAAAUGCCUUGUCGGGUAAGUUCCGACGCGCAUGAAUGGAUCAACGAGGACCCCACUGUCCCCGCCCCCCACCCGGUGAACCCACCUGGUGGAUGAAUAGUCCACCAACUCCCGUCGGGGAGAGAAGUCCCUGUGGAGCUUUACUGCAGCUUGUCGCUGUGCUGCGGUCUUGGGUGCAGAGAGUAGCUGGGAGCGAUGAAGGCAUCCCUCCGGGGGUGCCGGAUGCGAAAGUGUAACACCAGCCACUCGCGGCCGCGGCACUAACCGGGGAGGGAUCCUCGGGACAACGGCAGGUGGGCAGUUCGGCUGGGGCGGUCCCCCCUCGAAAAGAUAUCGAGGGGGCCCAAAGGUCGGCUCAGGCGGGUCAGAACCCCGCCGCAGAGGGCAAGGCCAUAAGCCGGCCUGACUGGAUCCCCAAUUGCACCGGAUCCAGAGGGGAAACCCGGGCCUAGCGAACCACCGUGUCCCCACCGUUGGGGGCCGGUGACGACGGAAAAGUUACCCCAGGGGUAACAGGCUCGUCGCGGGCGAGAGCUCCCAUCGACCCCGCGGUUUGGUACAUCGAUGUCGGCUCUUCCUAUCCUGGCCCUGCAGCAGGGGCCAAGGGUGGGGCUGUUCGCCCAUUAAAAGGGAUCGUGAGCUGGGUUUAGACCGUCGCGAGACAGGUCGGACUCUACCUGACGGGAGCGGUGGCCUCCUGAGGGGAAGCCGCCCUCAGUACGAGAGGAACGGGGUGGCGCGGCCUCUGGUGUACCGGUUGUCCGGUAGGGCAGGGGCCGGGCAGCUAAGCCGCUUGGGAUAACCCCUGAAAGCAUCUAAGGGGGAAGCCCUUCCCGAGACGAGGAGGCCAUCCGCCGCGGUGCUCCCGCGAGGGGGCUCCGUGGUGGUGGAGGGUCGCCGUAGAAGACGGCGUUGAUGGGGCGGCGGUGUAAGCCGGAAGGUCGCAAGGCCGACCGGUUCAGCCGGCCGCUCCCAAUAGCCCAACGCGCCUACAUUUAGGGUGCGGCGCGG
rnacentral:rRNA from 1 species